UCACUGGGGGUUCAGUCUUAGCAGGACCCAGGGCUUCCCCUUCCACUGGUGCUCUUACUAAGAUAUUCAUUGCUACCUAUGUGGUCAGAGUCCAGGGUCAGUCCAUGUAUAGUCUUUAGGUAGUGGCUUAGUCCCUGGAAGCUCUGGUUGCUUGGCAUUGUUGUACAUAUGGGGUCUCGAGCCCCUUCAAGCUCUUACAGUUCUUUCUCUAAUUCCUUCAACAGGGGUUCUAUUCUCAGUUCAGUGGUUUGCUGCUGGCAUUCGCCUCUGUAUUUGCUGUAUUCUGGCUGUGUCUCUCAGGAGCGAUCUACAUCUGGCUCCUGUCGGUCUGCACUUCUUUGCUUCAUCCAACUUGUCUAAUUGGGUGGCUGUAUAUGCAUGGGCCACAUGUGGGGCAGGCUCUGAAUGGGUGUUCCUUCUGUGUCUGUUUUAAUCUUUGCCUCUCUAUUCCCUGCCAAGGGUAUUCUUGUUCCCCUUUUAAAGAAGGAGUGAAGCAUUCACAUUUUGAUCAUCCGUCUUGAGUUUCAUUUGUUCUAGGCAUAUAGGGUAAUUCAAGCAUUUGGGCUAAUAGCCACUUAUCAAUGAGUGCAUACCAUGUGUGUUUUUCUAUGAUUGGGUAAUCUCACUCAGGAUGAUAUUUUCCAGUUCCGACCAUUUGCCUAUGAAUUUCAUAAAGUUAUUGUUUUUGAUAGCUGAGUAAUAUUCCAUUGUGUAGAUGUACCACAUUUUUGUAUCCAUUCCUCUGUUGAAGGGCAUCUGGGUUCUUUCCAGCUUCUGGCUAUUAUAAAUAAGGCUGGGAUGAACAUAGUGGAGCACGUGUCUUUUUUAUAUGUUGGGGCAUCUUUUGGGUAUAUGCCCAAGAGAGGUAUAGCUGGAUCCACAGGCAGUUCAAUGUCCAAUUUUCUGAGGAAACUCCAGACUGAUUUCCAGAAUGGUAGUACCAGUAUGCCAUGCCACCAACAAUGGAGGAGUGUUCCUUUUUCUCCGCAUCCUUGCCAGCAUUUGCUGUCACCUGAGUUUUUGAUCUUAGCCAUUCUCACUGGUGUGAGGUGAAAUCUCAGGGUUGUUUUGAUUUGCAUUUCCCUUAUGACUAAAGAUGUUGAACAUUUCUUUAGGUGUUUCUCAGCCAUUCGGCAUUCCUUAGCUGUGAAUUCUUUGUUUAGCUCUGAACCCCAUUUUUUAAUAGGGUUACUUGUCUCCCUGCAGUCUAACUUCUUGAGUUCUUUGUAUAUUUUGGAUAUAAGCCCUUUAUCUGUUGUAGGAUUGGUAAAGAUCUUUUCCCAAUCUGUUGGUUGCCGUUUUGUCCUAACCACAGUGUCCUUUGCCUUACAGAAGCUUUGCAGUUUUAUGAGAUCCCAUUUGUCGAUUCUUGAUCUUAGAGCAUACGCCAUUGGUGUUUUGUUCAGGAAAUUUUUUCCAGUGCCCAUGUGUUCGAGAUGCUUCCCUAGUUUUUCUUCUAUUAGUUUGAGUGUGUCUGGUUUGAUGUGGAGGUCCUUGAUCCACUUGGACUUAAGCUUUGUACAGGGUGAUAAGCAUGGAUCGAUCUUCAUUCUUCUACAUGUUGACCUCCAGUUGAACCAGCACCAUUUGCUGAAAAUGCUAUCUUUUUUCCAUUGGAUGGUUUUGGCUCCUUUGUCAAAAAUCAAGUGACCAUAGGUGUGUGGGUUCAUUUCUGGGUCUUCAAUUCUAUUCCAUUUGUCUAUCUGUCUGUCUCUGUACCAAUACCAUGCAGUUUUUAUCACUAUUGCUCUAUAAUACUGCUUGAGUUCAGGGAUAGUGAUUCCACCCUGAAGUCCUUUUAUUGUUGAGGAUAGUUUUAGCUAUCCUGGGUUUUUUGUUAUUCCAGAUGAAUUUGCAAAUUGUUCUUUCUAACUCUUUGAAGAAUUGGAUUGGUAUUUUGAUGGGGAUUGCAUUGAAUCUGUAGAUCGCUUUUGGUAAAAUGGCCAUUUUUACUAUAUUGAUCCUGCCAAUCCAUGAGCAUGGGAGAUCUUUCCAUCUUCUAAGGUCUUCUUCAAUUUCUUUCUUCAGUGUCUUGAAGUUCUUAUUGUACAGAUCUUUUACUUGCUUGGUUAAAGUCACACCGAGGUACUUUAUAUUAAUUGGGUCUAUUAUGAAGGGUGUCGUUUCCCUAAUUUCUUUCUCGGCUUGUUUCUCUUUUGUGUAGAGGAAGGCUAAUGAUUUAUUUGAGUUAAUUUUAUACCCAGCCACUUUGCUGAAGUUGUUUAUCAGCUUUAGUAGUUCUCUGGUGGAACUUUUGGGAUCACUUAAAUAUAUUAUCAUAUCAUCUGCAAAUAGUGAUGUUUUGACUUCUUCUCCGAUCUGUAUCCCCUUGACCUCCUUUUGUUGUCUGAUUGCUCUGGCUAGAACUUCAAGAACUAUAUUGAAUAAGUACGGAGAGAGUGGGCAGCCUUGUCUAGUCCCUGAUUUUAGUGGGAUUGCUUCAAGUUUCUCUCCAUUUAGUUUAAUGUUAGCAACUGGUUUGCUGCAUAUGGCUUUUACUAUGUUUCGGUAUGGGCCUUGAAUUCCUAUUCUUUCCAGGACUUUUAUCAUGAAGGGGUGUUGAAUUUUUUCAAAUGCUUUCUCAGCAUCUAAUGAAAUGAUCAUGUGGUUUUGUUCUUUCAGUUUGUUUAUAUAAUGGAUAACGUUAAUGGUUUUCCGUAUAUUAAAACAUCCCUGCAUGCCUGGGAUGAAGACUACUUGAUCAUGGUGGAUUAUUGUUUUGAUGUGCUCUUGGAUUCAGUUUGCCAGAAUUUUAUGGAGUAUUUUAUGUUGAUAUUCAUAAGGGAAAAUGGUCUGAAGUUCUCUUUCUUUGUUGGGUCUUUGUGUGGUUUAGGUAUAAGAGUAAUUGUGGCUUCAUAGAAGGAAUUCGGUAGUGCUCCAUCUGUUUCAAUUUUGUGGAAUAGUUUGGAUAAUAUUGGUAUGAGGUCUUCUAUGAAGGUAUGAUAGAAUUCUGCACUAAACCCGUCUGGACCUAGGCUCUUUUUGGUUGGGAGACCUUUAUUGACUGCUUCUAUUUCCUUAGGAGUUAUGGGGUUGUUUAACUGGUUUAUCUGUUCCUGAUUUAACUUCGGUACCUGGUAUCUGUCUAGGAAAUUGUCCAUUUCCUGCAGAUUUUCAAGUUUUGUUGAAUACAGGCUUUUAUAGUAAGAUCUGAUGAUUUUUUUAAUUUCCUCUGAAUCUGUAGUUUUGUCUCCCUUUUCAUGUCUGAUUUUGUUAAUUUGGACACACUCUCUGUGUCCUCUCGUUAGUCUGGCUAAGGGUUUAUCUAUCUUGUUGAUUUUCUCAAAGUACCAACUUUUGGUUCUGUUGAUUCUUUCUAUGGUCCUUUUUGUUUCUACUUGGUUAAUUUCAGCUCUGAGUUUGAUUAUUUCCUGCCUUCUACUCCUCCUGGGUGUAUUUGCUUCUUUUUGUUCUAGAGCUUUUAGGUGUGCUGUCAAGCUGCUGACAUAUGCUCUUUCCUGUUUCUUUCUGCAGGCACUCAGUGCUAUGAAUAUUCCUCUUAGCACAGCUUUCAUUGUGUCCCAUAAUUUUGGGUAUGUUGUACCUUCAUUUUCAUUAAAUUCUAAAAAGUCUUUAAUUUCUUUCUUUAUUUCUUCCUUGACCAGGUUAUCAUUGAGUAUAGCAUUGUUCAAUUUCCAAGUAUAUGUGGGUAUUCUUCCCUUAUUGUUAUUGAAGAACAGUUUUAGGCCAUGGUGGUCCGAUAGCACGCAUGGGAUUAUUUCUAUCUUUCUGUACCUGUUGAGGCCCGUUUUUGACCAAUUAUAUGGUCAAUUUUGGAGAAAGUACCAUGAGGAGCUGAGAAGAAGGUAUAUCCUUUUGCUUUAGGAUAGAAUGUUCUAUAAAUAUCUGUUAAGUCCAUUUGGCUCAUGACUUCUCUUAGUCUGUCAACGUCUCUGUUUAAUUUCUGUUUCCAUGAUCUGUCCAUUGAUGAGAGUGGGGUGUUGAAAUCUCCUACUAUUCUUGUAUGAGGGGCAAUGUGUGUUUUGAGCUUUAGUAAGGUUUCUUUUACGUAUGUAGGUGCCCUUGUAUUUGGGGCAUAGAUAUUUAGGAUUGAGAGUUCAUCUUGGUGGAUUUUUCCUUUGAUGAAUAUGAAGUGUCCUUCCUUGUCUUUUUUGAUGACUUUUAGUUGAAAAUUGAUUUUAUCUGAUAUUAGAAUGGCAACUCCAGCUUGCUUCUUCCGACCAUUUGCUUGGAAAGUUGUUUUCCAGCCUUUCACUCUGAGGUAGUGUCUGAUUUUGUCUCUGAGGUGUGUUUCCUGUAGGCAGCAGAAUGCAGAGUCCUCGAUGCUUAUCCAGUUUGUUAAUCUAUGUCUUUUUAUUGGGGAGUUGAGGCCAUUGAUGUUGAGAGAUAUUAAGGAAUAGUGAUUAUUGCUUCCUGUCGUAUUCAUAUUUGGAUGUGAGUUUAUGAUUGUGUGCUUUUCUUCUCUUUGUUUUGUUGCCAAGACGAUUAGUUUCUUGCUUCUUCUAGGGUAUAGCUUGCCUCCUUAUGUUGGGCUUUACCAUUUAUUAUCCUUUGUAGUGCUGGAUUUGUAGAAAGAUAUUGUGUAAAUUUGGUUUUGUCAUGGAAUAUCUUGUUUUCUCCAUCUAUGUUAAUUGAGAGUUUUUCAGGAUACAGUAACCUGGGCUGGCAUUUGUGUUCUCUUAGGGUCUGUAUGACAUCAGUCCAGGAUCUUCUGGCCUUCAUAGUUUCUGGCGAGAAGUCUGGUGUGAUUCUGAUAGAUCUGCCUUUAUAUGUUACUUGACCUUUUUCCCUUACUGCUUUUAAUAUUCUUUCUUUAUUUUGUGCGUUUGGUGUUUUGACUAUUAUGUGACGGUAGGUGUUUCUUUUCUGGUCCAAUCUAUUUGGAGUUCUGUAGGCUUCUUGUAUGUCUAUGGGUAUCUCUUUUUUUUAGGUUAGGGAAGUUUUCUUCUAUGAUUUUGUUGAAGAUAUUUACUGGUCCUUUGAGCUGGGAGUCUUCACUCUCUUCUAUACCUGUUAUCCUUAGGUUUGAUCUUCUCAUUGAGUCCUGGAUUUCCUGUAUGUUUUGGACCAGUAGCUUUUUCCGCUUUACAUUAUCUUUGACAGUUGAGUCAAUGAUUUCUAUGGAAUCUUCUGCUCCUGAGAUUCUCUCUUCCAUCUCCUGUAUUCUGUUGGUGAAGCUUGUAUCUACAGCUUCUUGUCUCUUCUUUUGGUUUUCUAUAUCCAGGGUUGUUUUAAUGUGUUCUUUCUUGAUUGCUUCUAUUUCCUUUUUUAAUUCCUUCAACUGUUUGAUUGUGUUUCCUGGAAUUCUUUCAGGGAUUUUGUGACUCCUCUCUAUGGGCUUCUACUUGUUUAUUUAUGAUUUCCUGGAAUUCUUUCUGGGAUUUUUGUGACUCCUCUCUAUGGGCUUCUACUUGUUUAAUUAUGUUUUCCUGAAAUUCUUUCAGGCAUUUUUGUGAUUCCUCUCUGUAGGCUUCUACUUGUUCUCUAAGGGAGUUCUUCAUGUCUUUCUUGAAGUCCUCCAGCAUCAUGAUCAAAUAUGAUUUUGAAACUAGAUCUUGCUUUUCUGGUGUGUUUGGAUAUUCCAUGUUUGUUUUGGUGGGAGAAUUGGGCUCCGAUGGUGCCAUGUAGUCUUGGUUUCUGUUGCUUGGGUUCCUGCACUUGCCUCUCGCCAUCAGAUUAUCUCUAGUCUUACUUUGUUCUGCUAUUUCUGACUGUGGCUAGACUGCCCUAUAAGCCUGUAUGUCAGGAGUGCUGUAGACCUGUUUUCCUGUUUUCUUUCAGCCUGUUAUGGCGACAAAGUGUUCUGCUUUCGGGUGUGUAGUUUUCCCUCUCUACAGGUCUUCAGCUGUUCCUGUAGGCCUGUGUCUUGAGUUCACCAGACAGGUCACUUGCAGCAGAAAAGUUGGUCUUACCUGUGGUCCCGAUGCUCAAGUUUGCUCGCGGGAUGCUGCCCAAGAGCUCUCCAUGGCAGCAGCAACCAGGAAGAUCUGUGCCGCCAUUUCCGGGAGCUUCAGUGCACCAGGGUUCCAGAUGGCAUUUGGUGUUUUCCUCUGGCGUCCGAGAUGUGUAUGCAGAGUGCAGCCUCUUCUGGUUUCCCAGGCGUGUCUGCCUCUCUGAGGGUUUAGCUCUCCCUCCCACAGGAUUUGGGUGCAGAGAACUGUUUAUCCAGUCUGUUUCCUUCAGGUUCCGGUGGUGUCUCAGAGGCAGCGGUCCUGCCGCACCUGGGCCCUCCCCCAUGGGAACCCAGAGUCCUUAUACAGUUUCCUCUUGGGCCAGGGAUGUGGGCAGGGGUGGGCAGUGUUGGUGGUCUCCUCCGCUCUGCAGCCUCAGGAGUGCCCACCUGACCAAGCGGUCGGGUCUCUCUCCCAUGGUGUCUGGGAGCAGAGAGCUGCUGCAGGCCAGGAUCCGCGGGUGUGGGACUCCCGGUAAACACAGGAGGUGCCCGGUCCUAGAGGAAUUCUGCCUCUGUGUGUCCCGAGAUCACCAGACAGGUCUCUUGCAGCAGAAAAGUUGGUCUUACCUGUGGUCCCGAGGCUCAAGUUUGCUCGCGGGGUGCUGCCCAAGAGCUCUCCGCGGAGGCAGCAACCAGGAAGAUCUCAAGUUUUCUUGAAGAUAAACUUUUGUAGUAGGUCUGAUGAUUUUUCGAAUUUUCCCUUCUCUGUUGUUAUAUCUCCCACUUCAUUUCUGAAUUUGUUAAUUUGGACACACUCUCUGUGUCCUCUGGUGAGUCUGACUAAGGGUUUCUCUAUCUUAUUGAUUUUCUCAAAGAACCAGCUCUUGGUUCUGUUGAUUCUUUCUAUGGAUUUUGCUUUCCCUCAAGUGCUAUGCACUGGAGAACAGAGGUGUAAAUUAGGAGAAUAUGCUAUCCUAUUAAAUUAGAAACAUUCUUUCUGUGUCUCUACUGGUCAUCCCUGUUUCUUACUCAGAAGAGCAAACAUCAGAAGAGAAAGUAUACAUUUUGGUGAUUCCCUACAUGUCUUCCAAAGUAUUUCUAGGUUCACAUUCUGGUAGACAAAAUUGGGGCCUUAAAGCUCCAAUCAGCAAAAUUGGAAUGGGAGUCCGGGCAGUGAGCAGAUCCGGGUAUGAGGGAUGAUGGCUAGACGAGUGAUCUUAUGCUUCUCAGUUAAGAUCACACAUCUCACUCUAGUCUGAAUCCUCAUUUACUGAAUCACUGAUGUGACCAGCACUCACAUUUCGGCCCUUGGCUACUUCCACGCAGGGUGUGAGGAUUCUGUACAGGAUCCAGGAAUAUUCUCACAUGUGCUUCAAUCAAAUAUUGAUCUUGGGAAAUAAGGCAAAUGAAAGUAUAGGUUGCAAGGUCAAAUCUUUUUGUAACAAAUUUUAGAAGCCUAGACAAUUUUAGCCUAUUCCAAGAAGAGCUCUUAGCCCUUCAUCCUCCUCAUGUGCCCUUACAACAUUUCACACUCUAUCCCAGACUGCCCAAGACCUGACAACAACUUAUACCCUGUAUCAGGUGUACAUAGUUGGACAGCUCAGCCUGGCAUAGAGAAAUGCUCUGUGCUCCCCACCACCUUCUGUACUCCUACCCCUUUUUAGAUCCUGAUUUCCUUCGUUCUCUCCUUCUAUCCCUGUGGGAAUGACAGGGUGCAUACUCUUCUUCCUCAGGUUCAUCCUUACUUUUUUUUCCACAGAUGCGAGAAGACUGAAACUAGCACUGUUAUUGGACGCUGGAUCUUCAACAGUGACUAUGAUUGAGCUGACACCUACGCUUGAUGACCAGUUCUGUGAUGCAUUUUCCUUUGGUUUGUCCAUCAACUAUAGCAAUAGCAUCUUCCUGCAGUCUUAUUCAAAGAAUUCCAUGUGUGUUUUGUACUGUUCUGAUGUGAGUAGAAUAACAUAAAUAAUAACAAGGCAUGGCGGUGCACACCUUAAAUCCCAGCACUUGACAGGCAUAAGCUGGAAGAUUUUUAUGAUAUUGAAGCUAGAUUAUUCUUCUCAGUGUAAUUUCCUCCUUACGCAAUGCAAGAGAAGAUGUAUUUUAUUCUUUCUAGCACCUCCUUCUGUAGUAGAUUCCCAUUACACCCCCCCAAUAAAUCCUGUCUAACUUUUCCAGUUUUCUUCUUUAUAACACCUGGGUCCUACUAUCCCCCUCUCUAUCUCUUUCUUUUUCUAAGCUCUUCUCUUAAGUUGUGAGGGUUUUCCUCCAGUCAAUAUCCUUUUAGGUGUUCAAUAAGGUGUUUCCAAUACCAACAUAUACUGAUUUUAAUAUCUUUAUUUGGUUUCGUUAUUUAGGUUUGAUAGAGCACUGUGAUGGAAAAUGUCUUAGUGAUGAGACUGUUCAUGUCACCUUAUGUGCUACUGUUCACUGUCAGCUUCUCUCAUGAGUCUUAUGAACCAGAUGUGUAAAUCACCAAGGAUCCCUGAGUUUGAAUCUGCGGCGGUGGAAAUUGGAGACAUUCUUAAUCUCAUCAGUCUAUGAUGUUGGUAUUACAAAGACAAUGAUACCGGAUCCUUUAUGAGUUCUGUUUCAGUUACAGUGUUAUUGCUGUUAAGAGACACCAUGACCAAUAUCCUCGACCUUUUUACUGUGCCUCCUGAUUUACUUCACUAAGGUCCAGGAUACAGUUUGUAUUACAAAAUUGUGCUGAUGCGGGAUUCAAUGAGAGUGUCACUAUGAAAUAUGUGAAAAGAAGUAGGAUCCUGUGUGUGCCGCGUCGUUCCUGCUGGCGAGACGUAGCGCGCGACAUCUGGUGCCGAAACCCGAGAAAGACCUCGCCAUCGUCAGCAGCUUCGGAGAUCCCUUGGCGACAAGGAGGAUUCAGAACUGCAGGUAGAUACGUUCGGAGAGGCAGCCCUCUCUUGGACUUUGGUCUGGGGUUGUCACCGCCUUGGGAAGGAUUUGUUGAGGCUAUAGUAUUUGUCCUGGGAGCCACCCUACUCUUUAUGUUCUGUUUUCACCGUUUUCGCUGUUAAAAGGACGAUCACAGCAGCUGAAGGCGCGUCUCAGUCUCUUGUAUAUAAGUGAGCUUCGCGCAGCUCCCUUUUACCUUCGAUUUUGACUGUUGAGGAACAAGGACGCGAUAAGGCCGACGUAGAUAAGCGGCACCAUCCAGGGAGGUGCGUGUAAGACUCCCGUACAUAAGAGAGCAGCGUGUCCGUCUCUACACUUUCACCUCACGCCUUGUCAGACGGACGUAGAUAAGCCGCCGGCGUUCCUGGCCCAUCAUGGGAUCCUCACAGUCUGUGGUCACGGCCUUGGAAACAGUGUUAAAGCAGAGGAACAUCAAAAUUGGAGGAGGAACACUUAAAAACUUUGUGAAGGAGGUGGAGAGGGUGGCGCCUUGGUUUGCCUGUUCAGGCUCGUUUACGAUUGCCUCAUGGAACAAACUUGGAAAAGACCUUGACAGAAAAUUGGCGGAAGAGGAUCUGCGCCUAGGGACCAAAGCUAUAUGGAAGCUGGUUAAGAAUUGUUUAAAGGAUGAAACGUGUAAGGCAGCAGUAGUAGAAGGACAGGCCACUCUCGAGGUAGUCCGGGAAAGUCUGUCAGAAACCGAACGUAGUGAGAGGUUGGGCGCACGCAAGAAAAAAGACGUCCCAAGAAAGAAAAAGUGCCCUCCCGGUAAGUCCGCGACAAGGGAGCAUUGAAAUUUUCAGAUUCCAGCACUUCCUCCUCUACACAUAAACCAGGAGGGGGAGCCAGCCUAUACCCUGUGAAAGAGCUAUAAGCGCUGAACCUCGACAGUUCUGAAAGCUCUGAAAAUAAAACCUUAGACUCAGAGGAGGAGGCCGAGCUAGUGCUGUUAGUAUUCUUGAAACCGCCGGUAUAAUUAAAACCACUAGUAAGGUGGCAGAUAUUUUCCAAAAAAUCCAAAUUAUCCUAUUCAAUAGAAGAUUCCCUGUAUACAUUACUCAUAUACGGGCCCAUUCUGGACUCCCUGGCCCAAUGAGUUCAGAGAAUGAUUUGGCUGAUAAAGCCACAAAAAUGAUAGCUGUGGCCCUGGCCUCUCCUUUAGAGGCCACUAAAGCCUUUCAUGGCAAUUUCCAUGUCACCUCAGAAACUUUACGCCGCCGCUUCUCUAUAGCUAGAAAAGAGGCACGUGAUAUAGUCACCCAAUGCCAACAGUGCUGCCAGUUCCUCCCAGUUCCUCACAUCGGGGUCAACCCGAGAGGAAUACAGCCAUUGCAAAUCUGGCAAAUGGAUGUUACUCAUAAUUCUACUUUUGGAAAAUUACAGUAUGUGUAUGUAUCUAUAGACACAUGUUCUGGCAUUCUACAUGCCACCCCACUUACAGGAGAAAAAACAACACAUGUCAUUCAGCACUGCCUUGAAGCAUGGAGUGCUUGGGGAAAGCCAAAAUGUGUAAAAACUGACAAUGGCCCCGCCUACACAUCUCAAAAAUUCCAUCAGUUUUGUGCUCAGAUGCAGGUUACCCACCUGACGGGCCUGCCCUACAACCCUCAAGGACAGGGAAUCAUAGAGCGUGCUCAUCGGACGCUCGAAUCAUAUUUAAUAAAACAAAGAAGGGGAAUUAUGAUAGAACUCCCCCCAACACCCCGAGUGGCCACUGCUCUGGCCCUUUUUACCUUAAAUUUUUUAAAUCUUGAUGAAGCUGGACAAACAGCGGCUGAGCGACAUUGCUCAGAGCCCAAGAGGACAAAAGAAGUAGUCAAAUGGAAGGAUGUAUUAACAAAUGAAUGGAAAGGCCCGGAUCCUGUUUUAAUAAGAUCCAGGGGAGCUGUCUGUGUUUUUCCACAGGACAAUGAAAAUCCCAUAUGGAUCCCAGGACGGACUUACUCGGAGCAUCACAGCAAGUGAUCAAGAAGGGACUGGGACUCCUGCACCUCCUCACUCUUCUUACAUGGAUGCCAGCAACGGUGCAGGGCGAGCUACGAUGGGGAAUAAUGUCAACCUUUCCACUCCCGAUGCUGGUGAUGUACCACUAACAGGGAUUUAGGGUUGGCCUAUUUACCUAAGGAUCCUCAGGUUGAACGACUAAAAGAAAAUAGGACUAUUCCCCUUAAGGGCAGCCUUUGUUUUGGCAUAUUCAACAAAACAUCUUUUGAUCUCCCUUGCAUUAGUUAUGUAAUCAAUCUUCUGCUUGGUUAAGGGAGGCCACAUGGGGAACUGGUGAGGAGGACAUUGUGGCUAACGCCACAGUUCUCUAUGGUGGUGGCCUUACAUUGCGUUAAUGGUAGCUGCACUGAUCUUACGCCCAUGGCGAUGCUACUUGAAGGAAAGGGCGAAAAGGGACGGUUGUCAUUUUCCUGGAUGGGGAACAUCAAACCUGCUGCCUCUGUCUGGACAGCUACUCAUAUAAAAUAUCGCAGUAGUUACCCGCAUGCCUCGCUUUAUACCGAUCCCUGUUGAUACCUCGGGGAUCAUGACCUAAUUUAGAGGAAAAAGAGAUUUUGGUACUUCUGCAAUUAUUGCUGGCAUUAUUGCUACAACAGCAGUUGCUGACUCGGUUACUGCCUCGGCAUUGGCCUUGUCAAAUUCAGUACAGACAACCCAAACUAUCAAUGAUUUAUCGGCCACCAUCACUGUGGCUCGGGACAGACAGGCCUCAGCCAAUACUCAGAUAUAGGGAGGCCUUAUGCUUGUCAACCAACGUAUAGAUCUGGUCCGAGAGCAAUUAGACAUUCUAUGGUAACUGGCCCAGCUUGACUGUGAGCAAAAACUCCCAGGCCUUUGUGUCACCUCCAUAUAAUAUGACAAAUUUACCCGAGCUGCUAAUCUGUCUAAGAGUCUUUCACAGCAUCUGUUACAGAAUUGGACCUCGGAGUUUGAACAGACACUUCGGGAGCUGAGAGCAACCAUCAUUCAAGUAAAUUCUACCCGACUGGACCUGUCUUUGACGGAGGGAUUGUCGUCCUGGAUCACCUCAGCAGUCUCUUAUUUCAAGGAAUGGGUGGGAGUGGGACUUUUUGGAGUGAUCCUCUGCUGUGCAUUAGUGUUACUCCUCUGGUUGCUUUGCAAAUUGAGAUCUCAAACAAGAAAGGACAAAGUAGUGAUCGCCCAGGCGCUUGUAGCCCUUGAACAAGGAGCGUCAGCCGAUAUCUGGUUGACCAUGCUCAAGCAACAGGUCGCCGGCUGGACAGCUCUUGCACUCCUAGAACCUCGGUUCAUUGCACAGGAUUAGAGUGUCCGGCUUGAGCAGCCCAUGAGGGGUGACGAGCUUAGCAUCACACAGGGAAGUUCUACCAAAUACGCUCCCUGGAAGGCAUGUCAUAUUACAUGAGGGUUUCUGCCCCAGUUUUCCCUCCCUCGAAAAAUGGCAGUGCGACGGGUCGGGAGUGCCCUGGGUCCCAACAACAGCCUAAGGGUAUCUCUCUUGUACAGGUUCGCCAACUUUGUACGAGGAUAUGACCUCUGUCUUCACCCUCCUAUAUCUGGGUGUCCUGUUUGCUUAAAAAAACAGAAAAGGGGGAGAUGUGAGGAACUGUCCGAGGAGCUGUUCUCACAGAGAUGUGAGGAGCUGUCCAAGGAGCUGUCCUCACAUAUGUGAGGAGGUGUCCUCACAAACUCCAUUACAAGAUGGCACCGGCAUCCGGCAGAACGCACCUAGUAAAAAGGGCAAUACGCAGGCGCCUGGUAACUUCCCUACUCAAAGGGACACGUACGUUUUGGUACGUCAUCUGGCAUAAUUGGCAGCGACCAGUCAGAGAGUGACACGUCCUAGGCGAGGAUAGUUUCCUAUAUAAGGGACGGUUAUUCCUCACUCUCUGUCUCCGCAUUGUAAGCUUAUGCUCUCCCUCUCAAGAUGCAUUAAAGUUUUUCUGCAGUAGGAUCCUGUGUGUGCUGCGUCGUUCCUGCUGGCGAGACGUAGCGCGGAACAGGGUGGGAACCCAUGAAUUAACUUUAAUUUUCUGAGACAGUUUAAAUAUCCAUAUGCUAUAUAGAAUUCAGCAUUUUUUAAGAUCAAUGGCAUAGUAUGCCUAU